rnacentral:tRNA from 1 species
CCUUCAAUAGCUCAGUUGGUAGAGCGGAGGACUGUAGGUUGAUAAUAACAGGUAUCCUUAGGUCGCUGGUUCAAUUCCGGCUCGAAGGA